GACGAACGCUGGCGGCGUGCCUAAUACAUGCAAGUCGAGCGGGUUUGUUCCUUCGGGGACAAGCUAGCGGCGGACGGGUGAGUAACACGUAGGUAACCUGCCCAUGGGACCGGGAUAACGUCGGGAAACCGAUGCUAAUACCGGAUAGCUGAUUCUCUUGCAUAAGAGAAUCUGGAAAGACGGCGCAAGCUGUCACCGAUGGAUGGGCCUGCGGCGCAUUAGCUAGUUGGUGAGGUAACGGCUCACCAAGGCGACGAUGCGUAGCCGACCUGAGAGGGUGAUCGGCCACACUGGGACUGAGACACGGCCCAGACUCCUACGGGAGGCAGCAGUAGGGAAUCUUCGGCAAUGGGCGAAAGCCUGACCGAGCAACGCCGCGUGAGUGAUGAAGGCUUUCGGGUCGUAAAACUCUGUUGCCAGAGAAGAACGUCCAGGAGAGUAACUGCUCUUGGAGUGACGGUAUCUGAGAAGAAAGCCCCGGCUAACUACGUGCCAGCCGCCGCCGUAAGAC
rnacentral:rRNA from 1 species